GGAGACCGGGGACAGUUCUGUAGGGGAGACCGGGGACAGUUCUGUAGGGGAGACUGGGGACAGUUCUGUAGGGGAGACUGGGGACAUUCUGUAGGGGAGACCGGGGACAGUUCUGUAGGGGAGACUGGGGACAGUUCUGUAGGGGAGACUGGGGACAGUUCUGUAGGGAGACCGGGGACAGUUCUGUAGGGGAGACUGGGGACAGUUCUGUAGGGGAGACCGGGGACAUUCUGUAGGGGAGACCGGGGACAGUUCUGUAGGGGAGACUGGGGACAGUUCUGUAGGGGAGACCGGGGACAGUUCUGUAGGGGA
ensembl:lncRNA